GUACUGAUGAAGAGUCCCAAAAUAGGACGAAACAGAUGUCCAGUAC
rnacentral:hammerhead_ribozyme from 1 species